GUGGGGAAUAUUGUGCAAUGGGGGAAACCCUGACGCAGCGACGCCGUGUGAGGGAAGAAGGCUUUCGGGUCGUAAACCUCUGUCAGAAAGGAAGAACCUCCCAAGUCCGAAUAGGGCUUGGGACUGACGGUACUUUCAAAGGAAGCACCGGCUAACUCCGUGCCAGCAGCCGCGGUAAUACGGAGGGUGCAAGCGUUAAUCGGAAUCACUGGGCGUAAAGCGCGCGUAGGCCGCUUUUUAAGUCGGACGUGAAAGCCCUCGGCUCAACCGGGGAACUGCGUUCGAUACUGGGAGGCUUGAGUCCUGGAGAGGGUGGCGGAAUUCCGGGUGUAGGAGUGAAAUCCGUAGAUAUCCGGAGGAACACCGGUGGCGAAGGCGGCCACCUGGACAGGUACUGACGCUGAGGCGCGAAAGCGUGGGGAGCAAACAGGAUUAGAAACCCGAGUAGUCC
rnacentral:rRNA from 1 species